GACGAACGCUGGCGGCGUGCUUAACACAUGCAAGUCGAACGGAAAGGCCCCGCUUUUGUGGGGUGCUCGAGUGGCGAACGGGUGAGUAACACGUGAGUAACCUGCCCUUGACUUUGGGAUAACUUCAGGAAACUGGGGCUAAUACCGGAUAGGAGCUCCUGCUGCAUGGUAGGGGUUGGAAAGUUUCGGCGGUUGGGGAUGGACUCGCGGCUUAUCAGCUUGUUGGUGGGGUAGUGGCUUACCAAGGCUUUGACGGGUAGCCGGCCUGAGAGGGUGACCGGCCACAUUGGGACUGCGAUACGGCCCAGACUCCUACGGGGGGCAGCAGGGGGGAAUAUUGCACAGUGGGCGGAAGCCUGAUGCAGCAGCGCCGCGUGUGGGAUGACGGCCUUCGGGUUGUAAACCGCUUUCGCCUGUGACGAAGCGGGAGUGACGGUAAUGGGUAAAGAAGCACCGGCUAACUACGUG
rnacentral:rRNA from 1 species